UUAUAUAGGUAUAUAUCAUGGUCACAAUGGAAAUGAACAGGGGACCAAUAGUGCGAACAGCUUGUAGUUUGUGAAAAGGCUUUCGCAAAUUUCAGCAAGAUUUAGUGAUUCUAUACAGACCAAACGCACCUUAAGUAAUAUUUGGCCUAAACAUCUGAACUACUCAAACACAAAAAUAUUUGACAUUAAAAGGAUCAUGACGUUAGAGGAUCAUUACUAUUGAGAUGGGAGAAAGGUCAAAGGUUAAACGAAAAGUAAUGAAUGAAGAAUCUGCAGGAACCGUAACUAUAGAUACAUCUACAUCUCUGUUCCACAUCAGUUAAUUUUUUACCAGUAUCGAGUUUAACAGGACAAGCUGUAAAUCUGAUUAGUAUUUAUCAUUUUCUGUAGAUGUCCACCAUACGGAAUAUACUAGAAAGAAUGUACGAGAAUAGUUUACUUCCCAAGAUAAAUAAACUGGAGCAUUGGAAACAAUAAUGAUUCACAUAAUGGUUUAUUAACUCUACUAUAUUCAGAAAAUGGGGAUUUUGAACCCCUUUUUGUUUGAUCAGAUGAUCAUCAUCACAUCAUUAGUUUAUUCUUAUAAUUAAUAAUAAUCAAUAAUAUAUCAAUAAUAAAUCAUCAUGUCUUAUAAGACAUAAGUGAACAUAAAAAUUUGACAAAAUGUCUGACUACAUUAGAGCAGAUCAAAGAUACUUAACAUUGUUUUGAUUAAGAUGAUGGAAUACAUAAUCUAACAGCAGAUAUGGCACAUUGUUUACUUAACACAACCACUAAUGAAAGUUAGGCAAGUAAUGUCGGCAACAAUAACACAA